rnacentral:misc_RNA from 1 species
ACGGAUGAGCAUGAUUACCAGGUCAAGAUGCGCUCGGUCCUGAAAUUCCUUGACGAAGGCGACAAGGUAAAGGUCACCCUGCGUUUCCGGGGCCGCGAAAUGGCCCACCAGCAGCUUGGGCUGGAGCUUCUGAACCGCGUCUCGGCCGAUGUCGGCGAUGCCGGCAAGGUAGAGAGCAUGCCAAAGCUUGAAGGUCGCCAGAUGGUGAUGAUGAUCGGGCCGAGAUAACCGGCGCCUGAUAUCCUGACAUGUAAAAGCCCCGCCCUGGCGGGGUUUUGCAUAUCUGAGAGGCGGAUCCCUUUCCAA